UCACACGUGGAACCUGGCCCCGGAGCCUCCGGUCUGUGUCCCCAUCUAACAUAUAAUCUAAGGCUGUGGCACGGAGGGAGAAGAGGGAAGAGAGUGAGCUGAAGAUACUGUUCCUCUCCACCUGGAGGCCAUCGGAGUGAGCGGAAGUGCCAAUUUGCUGAGUUCAUGCUUCUUGUGGAGUCACGGAGACACCCAAUGCCUCCACUGCUUAGUGCCCACAUGCACAGCCAAAGAAGCAGGAGUGUGCAUGUUCACACCUCCCCUAAAGGCCAAGUGCAGGAAGGAACAAAGAUGCUCACAUGGACAGAAGCUAAAGGACCAAUCCUACUCAUGGAAGAAAGAACCCAGCCAGGUCCUCUUGGAAUAAGAACACCCCGUCAUCUCUGCCCCAGCCACACUCUGCUUCAUGGCUUCACUCCGGGCGUCUAACAACCCCAGGCGGUGGGGUGUGGGUGACGUUGGCUGCUGAGCUCAGUGAGUGACUACGGUUUAGAGAGCAGACCCUUCUCCCAGAUAGUUAGAAAUUUCCUGAGGAGGAACAGAAGCAGCGUGGUAUCUUUACGGCAAGACUCUGAGUCUGAGGACCUGGACAAUACGAGGCAAGGCUUCAAGUGUGAGAUGCCUGUGGGCAGAGUACGGUUGAAAACCUGAGAGAUGGAUAGCACCCCUCUUCAGUCCCUUCCCGCUGCUGCCCCAGGUGGAGGUUGAGCCCAGAAAUGCGGAGAGAAAGAGUACAGUAAAAAGAAGAAUCACAGAGAAUUGAGAUGAGGCUGAGAAGACAGAUAUGCUGAUAAAAACAGAGGACCGGAAAGUUCCUGGGCCCUGAUCUAGAGUGGUCCUUUACUGACUUCGCCUCCCCUGGAGACUCACAGCACACCUCGUAGGCUGUAAGAAUCAAACCGCUCCUCAUGCCAUACAGCCCACAAAUAACGAAGGCAGUAUUAGCAAGUCACAACGUCAGCAUUCAGAGGACCAGAAAGAAGUAAAGGCACAGACAGAAAACACUCAGCAGGGGUGGAGACUGGAGCAAAUGGAAAGAAGGGAAUGAAGAACAGGAGGAAGGUCAAGUUUAGCUCAAAGUCUGCAGUGAAGGAAAAAGAAAAAGAGUAAAAUAAGAAAUGCAAGUUAAACUGUGGAGAGGGAAGAGAGAGCUAAAAGGGGGCAAAAAUGAAAGACACUGGACCUAAGAGACAAAGAUCCUGCUAUCAGGUCCUUCCAGAGACUGGUCAUUUCCAACGCAACAAAAAAAGGAUGGCAAGCUGGGUGUGGUAGGACGCGCUUAUAUUCCCAGCACUCAAUAGGCAGAGCCAGGAAGAUCUCUGUCAUCUCGAAAGCAACUUGGUCUACAGGGAGAGUUCC
rnacentral:lncRNA from 1 species